AUUAAUUAUCCUUAUUAAAAUUAUAUCCGAUCUAUUUCAAGCAUACAUAUAUAUACAUAUUGUAAUUAAUUAUGACUUGCUAUAAGGUUUUUGCCAAGCUAGGUUUAAUUUGAUUGCUAUGUAUGAGUAUUAUUUUUUAAUAAUAAAUAUAAAUUUCCUUUUCAUUUAUGGAAAAAGGGUGGUUAACUAACCAUGAAUCAGGUUGGUUUAGGUUUUGAAAAGCAUGUCCUUUUUCUUAUUUAAUUGAAAAAAAAGAUAUUGGGGUGUUAGCUUUUGUUUUGUUGUUGAGACAUGAAUUGAGUUCAUAUGAGUAGAUUCCUUUGAAAGGUCCUCGUGUGUUAAACUUGUUGUAACAAAUGGAAAGAUGCCACGUAAGCAUAUCCUCGUGGCCUUGUCACUACAUAAAAUCGUAUAUAUGAACCCUUAUUAGAUGAGAUUGGAAAUGAAUGAAUGAAUAAUUCAAUACAUAUUCACAGUCGUUGUUUGCAGAAGUAGCAUCAUCAAGAUUCACAUGUGAAUGUGGCUAAGUGGAAAUAUAUAUAUAUAUAUAUAUUUCUGCUAAUCUAUUUUAUUUGAAGUGAGAAUCUUGAUGAUGCUGCAUCAGCCAUAAAUGACUAUAUAAAUAGUACCAGAAACAUUCACACUUUUUCAGACAAUCCUAGGUUUAUCUAUUUGGGGCUUCACUGCCUGUUUAUGUUAGCUUUCUUUCUUUUCUUUAUGUCCUCACUUUACAGAUCUAUAUAUCAAUCAAUAUUCUUUUUUUUAUAUAUAUAUAUAUAUAUCCCCUUAUCCAAUCAUAAACUAUAGAGAUAUAUGUUUUGUAUUUGGAUCACUCUACUACCGUUCUGUUUUUAUGGUGUGUUUGCUUGAAGAUAGAUGAAGGAGAGAUAAUAUUUUUAAUUUUUUUUUAUUUUGAUUCAAUUUUUAAGAGGGGAUGAAGUCAAAAUUUCUCCUAUAGCUCGUUUUGCUCUCCCUCGAUUUUGGAGGAAUUUGAAGGGAAGAGUUUAAUAUAACUAAAAAAAUCAUUGAAAUUUUUUUCAUCUACUCUUUUGAACCAAACUUGUGUUAACUUCUCCUUUCUCCCCUCUAUAGAACCAACCAUGACUCUUAAAUAGAGGAAUUAGUAGAUAGAUAUUCAUAAUCGAAAAUUAUUUUUGGACACUCAUUCACUCAAUGUAUACCUUGACAAAGAACUUAAUAGAGAGAGUGAUAUGAUAGUAAAACUAAUAUGUUAGUGAUGUGAUAGUAAGAGAAAAUGCAAUGUUGAGAAAUUUGAGAUAUUCAAGUAUCAUUAUAGAUACAAAAUAGCAUGAUAGAGCUCUUGCCAAAAGGAUAUAUAUAAGUCUAUACUUAAGACUUCUUUGGAUUAAAUUUUUUAAGUUUCUCUAUUCACAUAAAUAUUUGUGGCUGUAUUUACAACAAUUUUUAAAACCCUCUCAGAAAAUCAAUUUGUGAAUGCUAAAAUCCACAAAAAUUGAGGAAAACACCAUCAAAUUUGACAAGUUUAUUUUGUAGUUAGAGAUGAUUGAUAGAUGAUAUCGAGAAAAAGAGAAAAUUAAGAGGGAGGCAAAUAUGUUAAGAAGAUUUAUUUGAUAAAGUUGUAUCAAUUAUUUUUGUUUUGAUUACAAUUUCUUUGAUGCACCUCUCUAAAUCAAGGAUCGUAAUGGAGUAAUUGAUACGUCUAUAAAUCACUAAUGUGUAACUACUGUGAAUCAUGAUCUGAUAAGGAUUAUAAUUUAUUAUCGUGAUUAUUUGGUACAUUGAACAUAAUUGAGCCAUUAAAUGUUUUAAUUAUUCCAUCAUGACCCUUGACUUUUUUUAUUAAAUAAAUAAAUAGAAAAUUAAACUGGAGAAAAAUAAAGAUAACAAUUAUAUUUGGUAUUUGGGAACUAUAGAACAAUUAUAUUUUCUCUAAUUUAGUUAUAUGUCACGAGGCUGGUUGAGAAAAUUAAUGUGCUUUCUUGGAUAUGAUUCUUGGGUAAGUAAAGGACAUUGUCUAUAGUACAAAUGAUGUGCAUAUAUAAUAUAUAAUAUAUGAUUGUAAUUUUAGAUAGUAUGUAUAUAUACCUUAACAAGCAUAUAGUCUCUAAUAUUGUCCUAUAUAUACAAAGUGUAUUUGGUUAAAUUAAUUACUCCUACACAUUUUUUAAUUUUUAUUAAUAUUAUUUGCUUUUUCAAAUCUCUACAUUCAGCUGUUUUAUGGUGCCUAAUUGUAUUGGAUAUAUAUAAUUGUUAAUUACAUUGAGAUGCAAAUUCUAAAAGCCAUUGGUUUGGGAAAGGGGGUGGAAUUUGGGUUCCAAUGACCACUAGUCCUUUUUUUUUUUGAACUCGUGACCACUAGAUCUUGUUACUAGAUACAUUUAAUAUUAAUUAUUUGUAGUUAGAGUUAAUUUGAAGUAUGGACAUUGUUCCAAGUGGUAUAUGCAUAUGAGGAUGAAUGAAAAUUGAAGCUUGGUUGGGAAUUGAAUAAUGCAAAAUUCACGGAGUACAUUGUGUCAGUUUCGUUCAUAUUUUUGUCACAAGGCUUCUUUGGCUUUAGCAUGCACUGAAUUCAUCACUCACUCACUAGUCAAGCAAACUAUAAGGAAGUAGUACUCUUGCAACAUUGCUAAGUCAUCUCAAAUGCAGAGAUAUUUCAACUCAUCAAUUAUUCAAUUUUUAUUUCAACUGUCUCAA